CUGGGGGAUAAGCUCGUGGGGUCUGACGGCUUCCAGGCCGACGAGAAGAAACUCACAGAGGAAGAGGAAGAGGCGCUUGGAAGCCACAACAGAAGUGAAUGUUGUGGAGAAGAAAGGCAGUUACCUGUUCGAGCGUGGGCAGAUGGUCGGGAUCAGUGUCACCGUCGUCGCGGUCACCGAUUUUUGCUCUGGGAAAGCUUCGGUCCUACUCCUACCCUCGCUAUGCUGACGUCGCUCGUCUUCGGUCCUACUGCCACCGAGGAGAAUCAAACCGCUUCCCUUUUCACCAGAAAGAGAGAGGACCCUAGAAGUAUCGCGGAGCCCAAAAGCGGCUAUCGCCGGACCACGCGGGCGAGCGGGGGAAGAUGGAGUUUUGGGGGUGAAGUCUCCUGCGCACCCGCCGCCGCUGCUUUACCACCUCCUUGUCGAACCCCACCACACGGAGCUCCACGGUGA
rnacentral:misc_RNA from 1 species